CAGAAGGGUCAAGGCCUGCACCAUUGUCAGCAAAACCAAGUGGUGCUCCACUUCCUCCUCCUCCUCCACCUCCACCACCUCCCAGGCCAUCAGCCAAUGUAGCAGCACCCCUCCCCCCACCUUCUCCCAUGAAGAGAAAAGAAAUAACAUCUCCACCUCCACCUCCACCACCUCCCAUGACAUCAGGACAACGAGUGGCACCACCCCCACCCCUACCACCUCCAUUGGCAUCAGGAAAAGGGGUGGCACCUCCCCCACCCCCACCACCUCCAGUGACAUCAGGAAAAGGAGUGGCACCUCCCCCACGCCCACCACCUCCAGUGACAUCAGGGAAAGGAGUGGCACCCCCCCCACCCCCACCUUCCAUGGGAUCAAAGGCUAUAGCACCUGCACCCCCACCUCCACCAAUGACUUCAAAUGGAAGAAUGCCAGCACCACCUCCACCCAUGCCAAUGGGAAAAGGAGCUGCACCUCCACCACCACCAGGGUUUGCAGCUGCCAGGAACCUAGGACCUAGCAAAGCAGCCACUAAAUUGAAGAGAUCAUCACAAAUGGGAAGUCUUUAUCAACUUCUUAAGGGCAAAGUUGAAGGAUCCAGUUUAGAUGGUAAA
rnacentral:lncRNA from 1 species